UGGGGAAUCUUGCACAAUGGGCGAAAGCCUGAUGCAGCCAUGCCGCGUGAAUGAUGAAGGCCUUAGGGUUGUAAAAUUCUUUCGUCAGGGAUGAUAAUGACCGUACCUGAAGAAGGAGCCCCGGCUAACUUCGUGCCAGCAGCCGCGGUAAUACGAAGGGGGCUAGCGUUGUUCGGAAUUACUGGGCGUAAAGCGCACGUAGGCGGACUUUUAAGUCGGGUGUGAAAUCCCGGGGCUCAACCUCGGAACUGCAUUUGAAACUGGAAGUCUUGAGAUCAGGAGAGGUUAGCGGAAUACCGAGUGUAGAGGUGAAAUUCGUAGAUAUUCGGUGGAACACCAGUGGCGAAGGCGGCUAACUGGACUGAUACUGACGCUGAGGUGCGAAAGUGUGGGGAGCAAACAG
rnacentral:rRNA from 1 species